CCCUUAGAUGUUCUGGGCCGCACGCGUGCUACACUGAGUAAUUCAAUGGGUAAGGGAACGCUAGAGCAUUACCUAAUCUUGAAAUUUGCUCGUGAUGGGGAUCGACGGUUGCAAUUUUCCGUCGUGAACGAGGAAUACCUUGUAGGCGCAUGUCAUCAUCAUGCGCCGAAUACGUCCCUGCCCUUUGUACACACCGCCCGUCGCUCCUACCGAUUGAGUGAUCCGGUGAGGCUCUGGGACCUGGACGGAAAGAGCGUUUCGCUUGUUCUGUUUGUGAAACUUGGUCGAACCUUAUCAUUUAGAGGAAGGAGAAGUCGUAACA
rnacentral:rRNA from 1 species